rnacentral:rRNA from 1 species
UACAGAGGGUGCGAGCGUUGUCCGGAAUCACUGGGCGUAAAGGGCGCGUAGGUGGCUUGCCAAGCGUGUGGUGAAAGCCCGGAGCUCAACUCCGGGUCGGCCAUGCGAACUGGCGGGCUAGAGCACGGUAGAGGCCAAUGGAAUUCCGGGUGUAGCGGUGGAAUGCGUAGAGAUCCGGAAGAACACCGGUGGCGAAGGCGGUUGGCUGGGCCGUUGCUGACACUGAUGCGCGACAGCGUGGGGAGCAAAC